CCCCAACAUCGCCUUCCAGGCAGCGCUGCCUGGAAGGUACUACGAUUGGGCAAUGGUUAUGGUUAGGUGCCUUGAAGUCAAUGGUCGCAACGCUGCCUGGAGGGAGACGUUGGAGACUUAAAACACCAUCCAUC